UCCGCUAUUUGUGACAUCUAUAUUCUAUUCUGCAUCCCAAACAAUAUAGUUUCUAUUAUUUAUUUAUUUAUUUAUAUAGAAAUGAGCAAGGGUGGAUGAACACUGCUUACUUGAUUGUACAAAUAGCAUGAAAAGUUGUAUGUUCGAAAUUGUAGAUCUUGUAAUUGGAUCUUCAUCUCAAUACGUGUUCUCGGUUUUCUAUAAGCAUGUGUACUGCCUUUUCCUUUUCCACUUACUGAACAUCCUUUUGUUCAUUAAGGAAUCCCAAUUCCCAUCACCUUCUUCUUCUAUCAGUACGUCUCUCCCUCCCCCUCUCUCUCGGUUACUUUCAUCUUCUCUAUUACUAAAUUUCUUUGCAAAAGUUCCUGAAUCCUCUUUGUUCCAAAUUAGCCUACGGUUGUGGAUCACAUCUUCGUAAGCUCUUCUUCGAUGUCCUACAGCCCAAAAUGUAAACUAUCUAUUUCUUGGACGGUAUUGCAGAGGGUGAGAGCUAAGCGAAAUUGAGGACCUGGAAGAGGGAAGAAAAGAAGAUAAGAAAAACAAGAAGUAGAGAAAUAAGGAUAAAACCAGAACUAUUCAACAAAUAAAGCCGAAAGAAAUGUAGCAAAGAAGUCUUGCUUUAAUCUUUUGGAAACAAGACUGUGGGAUCAUGAUACCAUCUACUUAAUCAACUCUUCCAUUGAUAAGCUGUUGCAGUCAAUUUGGAAUCUGCAGAAAAAACUGAUAAUGGCAUAGUAGCUCGGUGAGUUUUUAGAUCUCUUUUCCUGUAAGAUACAGUAGACUAAUAUCUCCCAAGGUGAUCUUAUUCUUCUCCCGACUUCUACUUUCAUUUAAAGCAAGCAAUUGUCCCACGGGAACUACUGUUAAGCACCGUGAACUCCAAGACUUAAACAUUAGCAUUUGAUAAACCCCUGGUGUCCUUUGUUCAUAUUAUAUUAUGGAAAGAACUAUUAGUGCCUAUGUCUCCAGGAUAUUAUAUGCAUCGUUGGUUUUCAGUAAAUAAAAAGAUCAAUGCAAAUUCUGUGUUUGAAGAAAUACUAUAGCUGUCUCUGGUUUGAUGUUGAUUCUAUAUGGUGGAACUGUCUCAAAGGCAAAGGGCUGAGCUUCUGUCUUUUCAUCUAAUCAUCCUAAAUCCUGAAGAGAAAUUUGUACAGGAGUUAAUGGCCUUGUAGAUUGAUCCAUUUACAUCUUCUCAGUGUCCAUAUUAAAUUAUCUAUUGUUUUAAUGGACAAUAUAGCUUACGUUAAUCAUGCAGUUUUACUUCCAUUUAAGCCAUGUGUUGUAGCAGCACCACCAAGUCUUCGGGCAAAUGAAAGAAAGUUGUCUAGACCGUACUGAGUUGAGCAAGAUAUGCAAUAUCAACCUGUAAGACAAAGCUACUUAAUAACAUAAUGCAGAAAGUGGGACAAGCCUGCAAACCCAAAAGCAUGGUAAAAAAAAGAUGGGAGUAACUGAGUCUCUCGAUUAGUUGUUCGAGAGGCACCGUCCUUGCUCUUUUUUUUUUGUUGCCUUUUUUGCACAUUUUGUAAAGAAAACAACAACAUUAUGCCCGUGCUGCAUAGAAAAAUCUUUUGACUAUAAUUAUUUAUUUUGAUUAUAAUACAAAGCGAUGUGUUUAUUA